rnacentral:siRNA from 1 species
AAAUAUUUACAAGGGAUUUUCAA